CCUACGGGAGGCAGCAGUGGGGAAUAUUGCGCAAUGGGCGAAAGCCUGACGCAGCGACGCCGCGUGAGGGAUGAAGGUCUUCGGAUCGUAAACCUCUGUCAGCAGGGAAGAACGGUCACUGUGCUAAUCAGCAGUGACUUGACGGUACCUGCAAAGGAAGCACCGGCUAACUCCGUGCCAGCAGCCGCGGUAAUACGGAGGGUGCGAGCGUUAAGCGGAAUUACUGGGCGUAAAGCGCUCGUAGGCGGUAUGUCAAGUCAAGGGUGAAAUCCCCGCGCGCAACGUGGGAACUGCCUUUGAAACUGGCAAACUGGAGUGUGUGAGAGGAUGGUGGAAUUCCAGGUGUAGGAGUGAAAUCCGUAGAUAUCUGGAGGAACAUCAGUGGCGAAGGCGACUAUCUGGCACAUAACUGACGCUGAGGAGCGAAAGCGUGGGUAGCAAACAGGAUUAGAUACCCGGGUAGUC
rnacentral:rRNA from 1 species